rnacentral:rRNA from 1 species
GACGUAGGAGGCGAGCGUUGUCCGGAUUCAUUGGGCGUAAAGAGCGCGCAGGCGGCUUGGUAAGUCGGAUGUGAAAUCCCGAGGCUCAACCUCGGGUCUGCAUCCGAUACUGCCCGGCUAGAGGUAGGUAGGGGAGAUCGGAAUUCCUGGUGUAGCGGUGAAAUGCGUAGAUAUCUGGAGGAACACCGGUGGCGAAGGCGGCAUCCUGGACCGGUAUUGACACUGAUGCGCGAAAGCGUGGGGAGCGAUCCGG